GGGCUUGUAACUCAGGGGUAGAGUGCUCGCUUCGCAUGCGAGAAGUCCGGGGUUCAAUUCCCCGCAAGUCCA